rnacentral:rRNA from 1 species
UUUGAUCCUGGCUCAGAUUGAACGCUGGUGGCAUGCUUAACACAUGCAAGUCGAACGGUAACAGGCUACGACAAUCCCUUCGGGGUGAGUCAUGCGCUGACGAGUGGCGGACGGGUGAGUAAUGCGUAGGAAUCUGCCCAAUAGCGGGGGACAACUCGGAGAAAUCCGAGCUAAUACCGCAUAAGCCUUACGAGGGAAAGAUGGCCUCUUCUUGAAAGCUAUCACUAUUGGAUGAGCCUACGUCGGAUUAGCUUGUUGGUGGGGUAAUGGCCUACCAAGGCGACGAUCCGUAGCUGGUCUGAGAGGAUGAUCAGCCACACUGGGACUGAGACACGGCCCAGACUCCUACGGGAGGCAGCAGUGGGGAAUAUUGGACAAUGGGGGCAACCCUGAUCCAGCAAUGCCGCGUGUGUGAAGAAGGCCUUCGGGUUGUAAAGCACUUUCAAUUGAGAAGAAAGCUUUAAGGCUAAUACCCUUGAAGUUUGACGGUAUCUUUAGAAGAAGCACCGGCUAACUCCGUGCCAGCAGCCGCGGUAAUA